UAUAUGACUCUUGCAUCUGUAUCCUUGAA
rnacentral:piRNA from 1 species